rnacentral:rRNA from 1 species
GAAAUAAGAUUUUAAAUGAGUGCUAAGAGAAUGAUUAAACAAUUAAAAGCUUUCUUUAAUUAAAAAAUUAAAUUUAAUUUUUUAGUGCAAAAGCAAAAAUGAAAUUUAGGGACAAGAAGACCCUAUGAAUUUUUAUUGUUAAUAAUUAAAGUUUAAGUUAUUAAUAAUUUAAUUGGGGCGAUAAAAAAAGAAUAAGUAUCUUUUUAGUUAUAAAAUAAGUUCCGUUUUUAGCGAUUAAAUGAAAUAAAUACUCUAGGGAUAACAGCGUAAUAAUUUUGGAUAGUUCAUAUAGAUAAAAUAGUUUGCGACCUCGAUGUUGGAUUAGGAUUCUU